GAUGAAGAAGUAGCGAAAUGCGAUAAGUAAUGUGAAUUGCAGAAUUCAGUGAAUCAUCGAAUCUUUGAACGCACAUUGCGCUCGCCAGUAUUCUGGCGAGCAUGCCUGUUCGAGCGUCAUUUCAACCAUCAAGCUCUGCUUGCGUUGGGGAUCCGCGGCUGCCCGCGGUCCCUCAAAAACAGUGGCGGGCUCGCUAGUCACACCGAGCGUAGUAACUCUACAUCGUUCUGGUCGUGCGGCGGGUUCUUGCCGUAAAACCCCCCAAUUUCUAAGGUUGACCUCGGAUCAGGUAGGAAUACCCGCUGAACUUAAGCAUAUCAAUAAGCGGAGGA
rnacentral:misc_RNA from 1 species